CGACCAUAUGUUAAAAUACACGUUCCUGUGCUAUCUCGGAAGUUAAGCAACGUCGAGCAUGAUCAGUACGUAGAUGGGUGACCGCUUAGGAAUACCAGGUGCUGCAAG